rnacentral:rRNA from 1 species
AUUGAACGCUGGCGGCAUGCUUUACACAUGCAAGUCGAACGGUAACAGGGAGCUUGCUCCGCUGACGAGUGGCGAACGGGUGAGUAAUAUAUCGGAACGUACCCAGAAGUGGGGGAUAACGUAGCGAAAGUUACGCUAAUACCGCAUACGAUCCACGGAUGAAAGUAGGGGACCUUCGGGCCUUAUGCUUUUGGAGCGGCCGAUAUCUGAUUAGCUAGUUGGUGAGGUAAAGGCUCACCAAGGCGACGAUCAGUAGCUGGUCUGACAGGACGACCAGCCACACUGGAACGGAGACACGGUCCAGACUCCUACGGGAGGCAGCAGUGGGGAAUUUUGGACAAUGGGCGCAAGCCUGAUCCAGCAAUGCCGCGUGAGUGAAGAAGGCCUUCGGGUUGUAAAGCUCUUUUGUCAGGGAAGAAACGGCUGUGGCUAAUAUCCACGGCUAAUGACGGUACCUGAAGAAUAAGCACCGGCUAACUACGUGCCAGCCGCCGCGGUAA